ACAUCUAGGUAAGCCAUGAGAUCCACAGCCUACGUUAGUGUUAUGGUGAUAUUUUUGUUUUAGGUAUAAGGCCCUACAAAUGUGAACGAGGCUGCCCGGCAGAGACCUUCGCGUGCAAGUACAAGCGUCAGGCACAUUAUCGGAGAGUUCACUUUGGCUAUACGUACGAAUGUACGCUUUGUGAUAAAUCUUUUGGAACCCGGCAGGGCCUGUUUUACCACAAGCAGAGGAAACACAAUUCACACGAGUGUACCGUUUGUCAUCAAAAAUUUGAAACAAAGACUGUUUUGAGACGACACAUUGCUGUGCUUCAUAAAGAGGUCGCUAUCAUUCCCUCGUCUGUCAGUUGAUCCUCCAAACAUUUGGAGGUAGAUAUUGUAAUAACGUGGAGGCCCCAAACUGGACUGAAAAUGGCGAUUUUUUGCUUAUGAGAAUAUAAAAGAAAGUUUCUAACAAAUCUGAGGGGCCAUUCGGAUGUUUAUAGGAAAUUUGAAUUCGAAAAUACCUAUGUGCAAUCGCAGUAACCCGUUUUUUAUUUAAAUUUUGUUUGACAUCUACGACUCAAUAUUUUGUCACUCUGCAUAACGUUUUCUUUCAAUAAAGACGCUUUCACGAAGG